GCAGUCGAGCGGUAGAGAGGUGCUUGCACCUCUUGAGAGCGGCGGACGGGUGAGUAAAGCCUAGGAAUCUGCCUGGUAGUGGGGGAUAACGCUCGGAAACGGACGCUAAUACCGCAUACGUCCUACGGGAGAAAGCAGGGGACCUUCGGGCCUUGCGCUAUCAGAUGAGCCUAGGUCGGAUUAGCUAGUUGGUGAGGUAAUGGCUCACCAAGGCGACGAUCCGUAACUGGUCUGAGAGGAUGAUCAGUCACACUGGAACUGAGACACGGUCCAGACUCCUACGGGAGGCAGCAGUGGGGAAUAUUGGACAAUGGGCGAAAGCCUGAUCCAGCCAUGCCGCGUGUGUGAAGAAGGUCUUCGGAUUGUAAAGCACUUUAAGUUGGGAGGAAGGGCAUUAACCUAAUACGUUAGUGUUUUGACGUUACCGACAGAAUAAGCACCGGCUAACUCUGUGCCAGCAGCCGCGGUAAUACAGAGGGUGCAAGCGUUAAUCGGAAUUACUGGGCGUAAAGCGCGCGUAGGUGGUUCGUUAAGUUGGAUGUGAAAUCCCCGGGCUCAACCUGGGAACUGCAUUCAAAACUGUCGAGCUAGAGUAUGGUAGAGG
rnacentral:rRNA from 1 species